ACGGCCGCAUUGAGCUCCACGCCAACACACUUAAACAACAUUAUUUUGGUAUCUUUAGAUGACCGCAUGAUGCACAGAUUCUCUCCACACAUACAAUGUCCAAUCUCAUGUUAAUUUGAAGUUUAUUUCGUCAGUUAGAUUCAAUAUCAUGAACUAAAUGGAUGCAAUUGUAGCAGGAAAUCAAUUAUAGUACUUUAAAAAUACAAAGAGAGGUCAUUUUUUUAUUUUUUUUUAUUUGGAGUAACAAAAGCUUAUGAUGGCAGCCAAUCAAGCUGUCUUUUAAUAGAAAAGACACAAAUUCCUAAUCACAGAGUAUAGUGAUCUAUAGAGCACGAUAGAGAUAUUUUCAGUAAAAUAUAAACAAUUCUCACGUGAAUUGUGAGCCAUAUAUGUUGGGACCCUCAGAGCAAAAAUAACACCAACAUGCACUAAGAAAAGUCGGCAAAGAAAUAUCACUGGUUUGGAUGUUAACAUCAAACCCAUAUUCAAUAAUGGAAGUUCAAGGAUUCAUUGAACAUAGUCUCACUUAAGAUUCACAUAGUUGGAUCCAACAUAGUCUUUACUUAGUUCCAACCUUCUAUAAAGUAGGCCUCUUCUGAGAUAGAAAGAUUCAUUCCAAGCUCUCUCUCUCUUCUGUCAUUUGUGUUUGUUUCAUACAAUGUUAAUGUUAGAAUUUGUUCCCAGAAAAAGGAGGAGGAAAAAAACAUAAAUUUAAGUUGCAGGAUCUCUAGCAGGAUCUAUCUAGGGUUUUUCAAGCUUUUCAUCGUCGGCGGUUUCCUUCCACUGCAUUCUUCUUGGUAGGAGAAAGUGAUGCGUCGCAGGCUAAUAGCUGCCAUAUCUUUAAUAAUUCUCUUAAACUGUAUUCUUUCUUCGACUUCGAUGGCUUUUAUUAUCCCACUUGCAUGUUAAAAUUUUAAAAAUUAAGUGGGAUAAUAAGAGCCACCGACGGGGAGGAAAGACUCCAGUUUCCGAGAAUUAUUAAAGAUAUGACAGCUAUUAGGCUGCGAUGCAUUACCUUCUCCAACAAAUGGUUGCAGGCGAAAAGCUUAGAUAGAUCUGAAAAGCUUAGAGAAACCAAACCGACAUUAUCAAGGCUAGUGAGUUUUGACUGUAAGAAGAAGCUGAGAGGGAAGGAAGGUCCGCUUACUAGUCUAGAACAAUAUUCAAAAGUUUAGUAUUGUAAACAAAUAAAUUUAUUUUCAGAUCUUCAAAUGGAAGUCAAGGCCUCUUGAGACUUGAGGCAUGUAAUUUUUUUUUUUUUUUAAUUUUUUAUGCAUAAUUUUGUUGUGAUUCAUAGUAUAUGAGUGUGUGUAUGAGUGUGAACCAUUGUGCCUGUGAAAUUGUUUUUGUGGUACUAUGUGUUUUGAGUCACUGUUAUACGGAAAGAAUG